UUCCGGUUGAUCCUGCCGGACCCCACUGCUAUCGGGAUAGGACUAAGACAUGUAAGUCAAGCGCUUUCUAGCUAAUGUGAGAGCGCGGCGUACAGCUCAGUAACACGUGGCCAACCUGCCCUUAGGACGGGAACACCCCCGGGAAACUGGGGUUAAUUCCCGAUAGGUGAAGGAGUCUGGAAUGACCCUUCGCUCAAAAGACGUUUAUGUCAUGCUCAUAUUCGUCGCCCAGGGAUGGGGCCGCGACCGAUCAGGUAGUUGGUGAGGCAAUGGCUCACCAAGCCUUUUACCGGUGCGGGCCGUGAGAGCGGGAGCCCGGAGAUGGGCACUGAGACAAAGGCCCAGGCCCCACGGGGCGCAGCAGUCGCGAAAAUUUUGCAAUACACGAAAGUGUGACAGAGCUAUCCCGAGUGCCAUCCGCUGAGGAAGGCUUUUACCCAGUAUAAAUAGCUGGGAGAAUAAGGAGAGGGCAAGUCUGGUGUCAGCCGCCGCGGUAAUACCAGCUCUCCGAGUAGUGUGGACGUUUAUUGGGCCUAAAGCAUCCGUAGCUUGCUAGAUAAGUCCUCUGUUAAAUCCACCGAUUCAAUCGUUGGAUUGCGGGGGAUACUGUUUGGCUAGGGGACGGGAGAGGUCGACGGUAUUUCCCGGGGUAGGGGUGAAAAUCCUAUAAUCCCGGGAGGACCACCAGUGGGCGAAAGCUGUCGACUAGAACGCGCCCGACGGUGAGGGAUGAAAGCUGGAUGCACGAACCGGAUUACAUACCGGGGUAGUCCCCAGCU
rnacentral:rRNA from 1 species